rnacentral:rRNA from 1 species
GACGCCAGUCUGCAUGGAGCCGACCUUGAAAUACCACCCUUUAAUGUUUGAUGUUCUAACGUUGGCCCCUGAUCGGGGUUGCGGACAGUGUCUGGUGGGUAGUUUGACUGGGGCGGUCUCCUCCUAAAGAGUAACGGAGGAGCACGAAGGUUGGCUAAUCCUGGUCGGACAUCAGGAGGUUAGUGCAAUGGCAUAAGCCAGCUUGACUGCGAGCGUGACGGCGCGAGCAGGUGCGAAAGCAGGUCAUAGUGAUCCGGUGGUUCUGAAUGGAAGGGCCAUCGCUCAACGGAUAAAAGGUACUCCGGGGAUAACAGGCUGAUACCGCCCAAGAGUUCAUAUCGACGGCGGUGUUUGGCACCUCGAUGUCGGCUCAUCACAUCCUGGGGCUGAAGUAGGUCCCAAGGGUAUGGCUGUUCGCCAUUUAAAGUGGUACGCGAGCUGGGUUUAGAACGUCGUGAGACAGUUCGGUCCCUAUCUGCCGUGGGCGCUGGAGAACUGAGGGGGGCUGCUCCUAGUACGAGAGGACCGGAGUGGACGCAUCACUGGUGUUCGGGUUGUCAUGCCAAUGGCACUGCCCGGUAGCUAAAUGCGGAAGAGAUAAGUGCUGAAAGCAUCUAAGCACGAAACUUGCCCCGAGAUGAG